rnacentral:misc_RNA from 1 species
UAAAAAUCUUUAGAUCUUAAUGGCAGCGAAGAGUUCGGUUCUCUGCAGUUCUUCAGUAGUCGCGCCGUAAAACAGUCUGUCGUGGUCUCGUUACGCGUUCUUGUGAGAAAGACGACGAGAAUACACCGGAAUUUCAUCAUCGUCCAACAUCGAACAAAAUUCUUCUAGUUACACUGCCAAAAAAAUACACUGUGGAAUACAGAUUAAUAGUUCUUCUUGGAUUCAAACAAUAACAAGACAAUGAAGCUGUCCAUUCUUUUGAUGCUUCUCUGUUGCUUCUGCAUCAAUGUUGGUUACACCAAAGAUAUCAGUCACGAGGACAUUAAGGAUGCUAUGCUGAGCUUGGUGCACAUGAUGCGGGAGAAUACGGAGAAGCUGGAGAGACACGAAGCAAGGGAGCGGCAGAUGGGCGAGCAACUGAAGAAGACCAUGACAAUUUUGACGAAGCGUGUGUCCGCCAUCGACGGUUUGAAGGUGCAGCUGACCAAGCUGGAUGAGAGAGUUUUGGGAAUAGAACGUUUGAUUAUGCAGAAAGACGAGAGGGAACGUAUACAGAUGCAAAAGACCACGGACCUUCUCGAGGAUCUGGAGAGCCGCCUGGAAACUUGGCUCAGGACCAUUGCUGACAAGAUAAGCAAUCAGCAGGAAAACGCGCCUGGACUGAACAAUAACGACAUUCUCGACAAACUGAACAAUACCGAGAGCAACCUGAUCGACGAGAUUGCAAGACUCAAAACUCAUCUGCACAGUAAUACGGCGAAGGUCGACAAGGAAUCAAGCGCGCUGACGGAGAAGGCGCACAGAAUCUUCUCGGAGGUGCAAGAUGUAGCCGCCAGAAUAGGAGACAUUGAGAUCUCCCUGGAAAAGAUAAAGCAGCUAGCGCAGAACGUUCAGGAUAAACCGUCGGAACAGCAGCUGGAUGCAGCUCCAGCCUUUAACGAGCACAUCAGGACAUUGGUGCGACUGCAAGAAUUGUUGGAAGACACGUCUGACAAGAUACGAGAGUUACCCAGGUUGGACCAAGUGCAAACGUUAUAUAACGAGACGCAGAUUGCGCUGCAGGAGACUAAGCAUACGUUGAAAGACUUCCUUAUACGCGGUGUCGACGAUAUCGGGGAUCGAAUAACCGAAGUGAAAGAAGAAACGAAGAAUUCGGUGACAGAAUUACGGAUGGAUCUGGCUAAUAACGCGGAACGCGUCAAGCAGGACCUCGAGGAUCUCGAGAAAGGUCAGUCCGUGAUGGUCUCCAUGGCCGAUCACGUGUUGGACACGAAGAAGAGGGUGGAGUACGGCGUGCACCAGAUUCUGCUGGAGGUGGGCGACUUGGUAAAGACGCAGGGUAACAACAUCAACAGUACUCUCAGUCAGAGAUUCGAUGGAAUCUCGAACGACAUCAUGGACAACCAGAACGGCGCCCUGGCUAAUCUCACCAGCAAAAUGGAGCUGGAGAUGCAUAAAGUCUGGCGACAGAUCAACGUGAUGUAUCAGCAGAUGACGGAGAGCGCUCGAGCCCUGGACAAGCUGCACCAGCAGAACGAGGCCUACGUUAACGGCACAACGUCCACCAUGGGUGGAAUGGAGAGCAAGGUCGGCGAGAUAACGAAACGCAUGACGGAAGUGGAUGAGAACUUGAACUAUCUGCUGGGUCGCCUGUCCCUGGUGACGCAGGAGUUCAAUCAGAUCAAAACCGGCCUGGGGAACGCAUUGGACAAUAUAAAGGCCUCCUUCAAGGUGGUGCAGGAAAAGGCGUCAGAUCUGACCCAUCCGGGUCCCCAUCCGCUCCCGGAUAAUUACAAGGACCCGAACGAAUCCGAGACCAGGAAACCAGAUGUUGUAACCGUAAAAUAAGCCGCGUCCGACUCUCGGAUCAAACGGCCGGCACAGAUUAGCCUCGUCAGCCGGGAAAGGACAGCCUAAAGGUAGCAGAGUGUAAAAAAGGAUGCGAGUUCCUGCACGGCUGCUCGUAUUCGUUAACUUUACUGUAUAUACAAAAGGAUUUCCUAAAUAAAGUUACGUAAAUUCGGAGUAUUGGACACGUUA